rnacentral:rRNA from 1 species
UACGUAGGUGGCAAGCGUUGUCCGGAUUUACUGGGCGUAAAGCGUGUGUAGGCGGACCUUUAAGUAGAAAGUGAAAGGUAGGAGCUCAACUCCUACAUUGCUCUCUAUACUGGAGGCCUUGAGUGUCGGAGAGGAAGAUGGAACUGCACGUGUAGCGGUGAAAUGCGUUGAGAUGUGCAGGAACACCAAUGGCGAAGGCAAUCUUCUGGACGAAAACUGACGCUGAGACACGAAAGCCAAGGUAGCAAACAGG